ACCUUAUGUUCUUAUGAGCACCAUCAUAAUUCUGUCUAUAUUGAACAGGAAACUCCUGUGGAUUCACCUCCAUUUAAAAAUCCAUAUUAAAUGAUGUCUGUGGCAGAGGGUCACAGGUGCCCUUUCCUUGGCACUUCCUGAGCACUCAUGCAGCUACACUGCCACACAUUGUCUAAGUCUAAUUCUUGCAGCAUUUUGGCCGUGAUGGUCCUGCAUAAGGAUAACAUCAGAGAGGGAAGAAGAAAUCGCUGAGCAAAACAAUCCCUGCCGGGGGUUCAAAACACUCUCUGGUAGUUGAAAAGUACCAAACUGAGGAGGUAGAAAAGAAUUUCCUUUAUGGGCUGAGGCCCUUGAAAGAGUCCAAGCCUCCCCUCUCCCUUCCCUUUAUUAUGUGAAAAAUAUUUAGUCCAGCAACUGGAAGGGUCGGUGGAGAAUAGAGCUGAAGCGUGGAAGAGUUACAUGAAAGUCAAAAUCCAGCCUAUUUCUGUUUACACGAUGCUCUGCAGAACAGAUCUGAGGGUUUUAGGGUAGACUUCACUAAUUAUAAUGUGAAUCUCAGAAAGAAACAAUCAGGAUUUUGAAUAUUCUUUGCUCAUCCCUGCCAGAAAUUAUUCUGGGUUUUUUAUCCUUUCCGUGUUGAGGAACCAGAGCUAUUAAACUUUGCCCAGCUCGCCUGCCAAGCGUAUUAUUUUGAUUGGCUGCAGGUUUUCUGUUUGCCUAAGUAAUAACCAACACAGUGUUAGAAGUUGCCAGCAGGACAAACAUGGAAAUUAUACCUUCUUAUUCCUUCCAGAAGAGCCAAAGAGACAUUUUAGAAGCGUUGGUGGUUAUAAUGCUGUUAGUUUAUCCCAAGGGAAACACGAUCCAGGCAAAGUCCACCAGGGUGCUGUCCUAGGUGCUCAAGAACAUAGACGAGACCCUGAACAGUUGUGGACCUUGUGCCUCCUGUUGCCGGAUUACACCCCUCCACACACACACACACACACACAAUUUGGCAGGAGCUCUAUGGUUUGAUUCAAACACCAUGCAAAACUGUAGUUCAGUUACACUAUGGAUGACCAAACACAGGUCAUACCACUGACUCUGGGUAAUUGGGUUAUAGCAUAUUGGAAUUUGAAAUCAUGGGGUAGAUCCAUCCUAAAAUUUCUACUUGGGCUAGAAUUCUUGUACAAGAGGAAACACAAGAGAAAUAACUGCAUGCACCAGGUGAGACUGAAUGCUGCAUUAUCACUUACACAAGAUCUUGUGCAACAUAUUUCUGGGUACUAAUACAAAAGGAAGACAGUGGUGGGUAUUACACAAGAUCUUGCAUACCUGGAACGAUGCCAAGUCUGUUUAUGUUUCAAGUUACACACCACUGGAUUCAGGCCACUGGCUGGAGGGCAAUUAGUUUAAUUACUGCAUUUAGCAUGAAUUGUGAUUUCAUAUGAUGUAUAAACAUGGAUCGUUCCCUAGUGCUACUGUCAUGGUGGCGGAUGUUGGGGUACCAGCCAGAGCUUUGUAGGGGAGACAGGAGGAAGUGCAAAGACAGUAGUCCCUGAUCACAAGGAAGGUGGGCAUACCAGUAUUUUGAGCAAAGUAGGAAACCUACAGUUGUCAAGACAAAGCAGGAUUUGAGAGAUUAUUUGUGAGUGUAUCCCUGGUUUUAUAAUUACCCAUUAAGGUAAGUCCUGGUUGCAUGUUAUGAAUGAACCAAAAGUUAAAUCUCUGUCCGUUUUUGUUGAGGAAAUAUGCAUUUCCACUCUUCCAAUGUUCUACAUGCAAUAUCAUGCCAAAAAAAAAGGCCCAUCAGCAGUAUUUGUUGAGCAGACAGGCUGUGUUUGAGAAAAAGAUUUAAUGGAUAUACAUCCACCGGGAAAAACGAAAAUCCCCCAAAGUGUCUGCAGUCAUAUCGGCAAAUUCGCCAUCCUCGGAGAACUGUAUUGGCCACACAUUUGGAAUACAGAAGCAUUGGAACAGGAAUUAAUUCAGAAAUUGGCCUUUUUAAAUUGAAGCCCAAAUAGGGAUUAUGGUUUCUUCACACACUAUGAAAGGUAAUAUUGUGUUUGUACUUUGGACUUCCCUGUGUAUAACCCUAAUUAAUGGGCCUUUCAUCAACAUUCCCCACUCUUUGCAUCUCACACUCACCACCAAUUAGCAUUUGAUAUUGUAGAUCAUGAUCUAGCGAAACUCGUACUUUCUGAAUUUAAAAAAGUCCAGUUUCUCUAAGAGGUACAGACGAAUUUACUCAAAGAUCCUAGUUUACCCUACAUGUGCAAUUUGUAAAAACCUUGGGUUGGGGCUCAUUUUAUUUUCUGCUUUGGUGUCUGUUGUCUAUUGCUCAUCAGUAACUUGGGAGUGUUGAUUCUGUAUGUCUGUCAUAUCAUCAAGACCAAAGUUUCAAUGCAGUAUUAAUUCUGUGUCCCAGAUUGUUCAUGAGACGUCAAGUACAGAAAACUUGAUGUCAAGGAGAAGAAUCUGUAGCUUAACCCUUUUGUUAAUGAAUAUUUCUGUGGUUAUUUGUGAAUGGUACAGCUCAAAGGUUCCAGCCCUUCUCUGAAAACUCAAUCCUUGUAAAAGUGUUUGUCAAAAAUGUAUCGUCUUUCCUGUUGUGUACAUAGAAUCAUGCUAAAAUUGGUGAUAAUUUUUAAUAAAACACAUUCAUGGAUCUUC